rnacentral:ribozyme from 13 species
AGGAAAGAGAGGAAAGAGAGAGAGGAAGGAGAGGAAAGAGAGGAAAGAUUUGUUUUUUCUGUUUGGACAAAAGUAAUUUUUUUUUUGAAUAAAUUUUAUUUUUGUUUGAUCUUCUGUUGUUUUGACUCCUCUUUUUCUUACAAAA